AAUUUCUGGUGUAGGGGUAAAAUCCGUAGAGAUCAGAAGGAAUACCGAUUGCGAAGGCGAUCUACUGGAACAAUAUUGACGCUGAGACGCGAAAGCGUGGGGAGCAAACAGGAUUAGAUACCCUGGUAGUCCACGCCCUAAACGAUGUACACUAGUUGUUGUGAGGCUCGACCUUGCAGUAAUGCAGUUAACACAUUAAGUGUACCGCCUGGGGAGUACGGUCGCAAGAUUAAAACUCAAAGGAAUAGACGGGGACCCGCACAAGCGGUGGAGCAUGUGGUUUAAUUCGACGAUACACGAAGAACCUUACCUGGACUUGACAUAGUAAGAAUGAUUUAGAGAUAGAUUAGUGUCUGCUUGCAGAAACUGGCAUACAGGUGCUGCACGGCUGUCGUCAGCUCGUGUCGUGAGAUGUUGGGUUAAGUCCCGCAACGAGCGCAACCCUCGUCCUUAGUUGCUAACAGUUCGGCUGAGAACUCUAAGGAGACUGCCUACGCAAGUAGGAGGAAGGUGAGGAUGACGUCAAGUCAUCAUGGCCCUUACGUCCAGGGCUACACACGUGCUACAAUGGGGUAUACAAAGAGCAGCAAUACGGUGACGUGGAGCAAAUCUCAAAAAUGCCUCCCAGUUCGGAUUGUAGUCUGCAACUCGACUACAUGAAGUUGGAAUCGCUAGU
rnacentral:rRNA from 1 species